GGAAGUAAAAGUCAUAACAAGGUCUCCGUUGGUGAACCAGCGGAGGGAUCAUUACCGAGUUUACAACUCCCAAACCCCAUGUGAACCUUACCAAACGUUGCUUCGGCGGGAUGCCCCGGGCGCGGGCCGCAAGGCCUCAGCCCCGGAACCAGGCGCCCGCCGGAGGCCCAAACCAAACUCUUGUUUUUGUAGAAUCUUCUGAGUGGCCUUUUAGGCAAAAAAUGAAUCAAAACUUUCAACAACGGAUCUCUUGGUUCUG
rnacentral:misc_RNA from 1 species